UGGCGAACGGGUGAGUAAUACAUCGGAACGUGUCCGCUCGUGGGGGACAACCAGCCGAAAGGUUGGCUAAUACCGCAUGAGUUCUACGGAAGAAAGAGGGGGACCCGCAAGGGCCUCUCGCGAGCGGAGCGGCCGAUGACUGAUUAGCCGGUUGGUGAGGUAACGGCUCACGAAGGCAACGAUCAGUAGCUGGUCUGAGAGGACGACCAGCCACACUGGGACUGAGACACGGCCCAGACUCCUACGGGAGGCAGCAG
rnacentral:rRNA from 1 species